GCAAAAAGGACAAUUGCAUAGCGGAAAGGUCUGUACUUGUAGCUUCGCACUGCUUCACUUCGGCGCUGAAUGAUCGGAUAGGAAAAAAGAGGCAAAAUCCCAGAAGAAAACUUCGCACUCUCUCUUUCGAAUAAAAACAUAGCAGGAGCAGAGAGGUUGAAAGCGUGAAGAAAACGGAACGAGAUAAGAGAAACAAUACAAGAUUCACUAUACCUAUACUUACAAGAAACCAUUUCUUGUUCUUCGUUUACAGGGCGUUUAUUCUAAUAAUCACUCAAUCUGUAAGAAAUUUUAGAGACGAAAUGUUCGUAUAAGAACACUCCGUUCUUGUUCAUGAAAUUAGGGUUUGUUUUCUUUGUUUCAAGUUUAAAAAUCAAUGGCGAAUGCGAAACAAGAAGUGGAACCUUGUUACGACAGUGAUUCAGGGGAUUCGUGGUCGCCAUUGGACUUGCUGAGAAUAGAAGCCACCGAUGAUGACGAUAUAGACAGCAAAGAAGAGAAAAGGGCUUUAAGGACUGGUCGGAGCUCUCGUUUUGGUUUUGAUGAUGAAUUGCACGGCGCUGGAGGAGCACCGGAGGAGGAUGAUGAGGACAAAGAAGCUCUUGGUGUGGAAGAGGAAGAAGAUGAGAGUUCUGGUGAAGAAGCAGUAGAGGAACUUGAAGAUGAAUUUGAGGAGGUGGAACCUCUAGAGGCUGCUGAGGUAGGGAGGCAGAGAUAUGCAGAAGAGGAAGAAAAGGAGAAGGAUAAAGAGGCGGUUACAAUUCCUAGAACAGGUGCAUUCUACAUGCACGAUGAUCGGUGUCAAGGCAGUGGCCGCGGACGCAGGAUGAAUUUGGGCAGCAAGAACUUGCAGGAACUCAAAGAUGAAAAGAAAUGGCCACAUGGCAAGUUUCAAGAGAUGAUGCGGAAGGACCCAGAAAAUAAAAAGUUUAAUGCCUACACCAAAGUACAGAAUUUUUCUGAUAGCCAUCAUCAAGGAUACUAUAAAAAUAAAAGCAGAGGUUGUGAUGUUAAUGCCAAUCAAUUUAUACCCGACGAUAACAAUAACUAUCAAGGCCUUUCAUCAAGAAUUGUACGAGGUCGAGGGCCAAUGAAAUAUAAGCCUCUUAACAGCAGCAAUGAUGUAGAUCGACCUGGAAAUAUGGAAUUGAGGAAGUCCCCUGGUAUAAAAUCAAAAGCUGAUUCAGCAAGAACGUUGUCAGACACUUCACAGGCAGACUCUGAUUCACUUGCUUCUAAGAAGAAGCAUCAUCAUGCAACUUCUUCCAAACCCGACAUCUCUGUGGCAAAUAAAAGGAAUGUACAACCUCGUUUUCUAGGUUAUGAUGCAUGUAUGCCACAUUACAAAGAAUAUAUGCAGGGGAACAGUGUAGAUGAUUAUUUUGAGAGGAACAGGCUUUCUGCUCAGGAGUCCAUAUUUCCAGUUGUUGAACAUCGUUAUACCGGUCUGCCUUUGCAGCCUUCAGUAACCACAUAUCCUGAUUCUUCCCAGCUGAGGAGUCAGGCAAGGGAUUGUCCUCUUCACCCACUGAUGAUCCAUCAUUCACCCACAUCUUCUAAUGCAGUUGAUAACCAUGUUGUUCAACAAACACCUCUUGGAAGCAGAUGUUGCUGUCCUUUACAAGCUUACACUCAGCAGUUGACCUCACAUUCAGCUAUGCAGUUUGGAGACCAGCAUCUUGGUCAUCUUAGUGAUCAUGUUGAUGACAGGGCUGUUGGUAGAUCUAUGAUUCAACCCCAAGCUGGUCUUGGAAAUUCUGAGAUGACUCGGAUGAAUUUGGGCAGGAAGAACUUUCGGGACCUCAAAGAUGAAAAGAAAUGGCCACAUGAUAAGUUUGAAGAGAUGAUGCGGAAGGACUCGGAAAAUAAAAAGUUUAAUGCCUACGCCAAAGUACAGAAUUUUUCUGAUAGCCAUCAUCAAGGAUACUAUAACAAUAAAAGCAGAGGUCGUGAUGUUAAAGCCAACCGAUUUAUACCCAAUGAUAACAAUAACAAUCAAGGCCCUUCAUCAAGAAUUGUGCGAGGGGGAGGGCAUGUGAAAUAUAAGCCUCUUAACAGCAGCAAUGAUGUAGAUCCACCUGGAAAUAUGGAAUUGAGGAAGUCCCCUGGUAUAAAAUCAAAUGCUGAUUCAGCAAGAACGUGGUCAGACACUUCACAGGCAGACUCUGAUUCACUUGCUUCUAAGAAGAAGCAUUAUCAUGCAACUUCUUCCAAACCCGACAUCUCUGUGGCAAAUAAAAGGAAUGUACAGCCUAGUCUUCCAGGUUAUGAUGCAUGUAUACCACAUUACAAAGCAUAUAUGCAGGGGAACAAUGUAGAUGAUUAUUUUGAGAGGAACAGGCUUUCUGCUCAGGAGUCCAUAUUUCCAGUUGUUGAACAUCAUCAUACUGUUCUGCCUUUGCAGUCUUCAGUAACCACAUAUCCUGAUUCUUCCCAGCUGAGGAGUCAGGCAAGGGAUUGUCCUCUUCACCCACUGAUGAUCCAUCAUUCACCUACAUCUUCUAAUGCAGCUGAUAGGCAUAACCAUGUUGUUCAACAAACACCUCUUGGAAGCAGAUGUUGCUGUCCUUUACAAGCUUACACUCAGCAGUUGACCUCACAUUCAGCUAUGCAGUUUGGAAACCAGCAUCUUGGUCAUCUUAGUGAUCAUGUCGAUGACAGGGCUGUUACUAGAUAUAUGAUUCAACCCCAAGUUGGUCUUGGAAAUUCUGAGAUGACUCGUUGUUGGCUUUCUUCUGCAGUGCUGGAGCCAGUGCAAGCAGACUCAGCCAGGGAAACAAAUCUCAAGAUGAAACUGAAGUUCUGGAUGAUACUGAUGGGUCGCAAAAGAUGAAGCCUCAGAGAUACUCAAAGAUGAAUUUUAAAAAGUGAAUGGAUGAUGUCAUUUGUUAACAAACAGGGAUGCAUCACUACCUACAACUCAUGUCGCAGUUUUAAAAUGGUGUGGGCAGAGCGAUAUAGUAAGUGAUUUUAGAAAAACAUUUUUGAGCUUCGCUAGUGGCACUAGCAGUUGCUAGAAGCAAAUAUACUCAAUAAUAGGGGGUGUAAAUCCUGAACCCUGUGAUGAAAAAAAAAUUGUACACACACAUACUUAACUGAUCAGUAAGUGUCAAUUUCUGUGACAAGUUUUGAACUUGCUGCUUUUCUGCAAA